AGAGUUUGAUCCUGGCUCAGGAUGAACGCUGACAGAAUGCUUAACACAUGCAAGUCAACUUGAAUUUGGGUUUUUAACUUAGGUUUGGGUGGCGGACGGGUGAGUAACGCGUAAAGAACUUGCCUCACAGCUAGGGACAACAUUUAGAAAUGAAUGCUAAUACCUGAUAUUAUGAUUUUAAGGCAUCUUAGAAUUAUGAAAGCUAUAUGCACUGUGAGAGAGCUUUGCGUCCCAUUAGCUAGUUGGAGAGGUAACAGCUCACCAAGGCGAUGAUGGGUAGCCGGCCUGAGAGGGUGAACGGCCACAAGGGGACUGAGACACGGCCCUUACUCCUACGGGAGGCAGCAGUGGGGAAUAUUGGACAAUGGACCAAGAGUCUGAUCCAGCAAUUCUGUGUGCACGAUGACGUUUUUCGGAAUGUAAAGUGCUUUCAGUUGGGAAGAAAAAAAUGACGGUACCAACAGAAGAAGUGACGGCUAAAUACGUGCCAGCAGCCGCGGUAAUACGUAUGUCACGAGCGUUAUCCGGAUUUAUUGGGCGUAAAGCGCGUCUAGGUGGUUAUGUAAGUCUGAUGUGAAAAUGCAGGGCUCAACUCUGUAUUGCGUUGGAAACUGUAUAACUAGAGUACUGGAGAGGUAAGCGGAACUACAAGUGUAGAGGUGAAAUUCGUAGAUAUUUGUAGGAAUGCCGAUGGGGAAGCCAGCUUACUGGACAGAUACUGACGCUAAAGCGCGAAAGCGUGGGUAGCAAACAGGAUUAGAUACCCUGGUAGUCCACGCCGUAAACGAUGAUUACUAGGUGUUGGGGGUCGAACCUCAGCGCCCAAGCUAACGCGAUAAGUAAUCCGCCUGGGGAGUACGUACGCAAGUAUGAAACUCAAAGGAAUUGACGGGGACCCGCACAAGCGGUGGAGCAUGUGGUUUAAUUCGACGCAACGCGAGGAACCUUACCAGCGUUUGACAUCUUAGGAAUGAGAUAGAGAUAUUUCAGUGUCCCUUCGGGGAAACCUAAAGACAGGUGGUGCAUGGCUGUCGUCAGCUCGUGUCGUGAGAUGUUGGGUUAAGUCCCGCAACGAGCGCAACCC
rnacentral:rRNA from 1 species